rnacentral:lncRNA from 10 species
GCCUUGUUUUGUUGCUGAUGCUCGUAAUGCUGGUGAUGAGGUGGAGGGAGAAGGCGUAGAGAGGUAAACAGGUGGCAAAGCUUAUGUGCCAUUCUAUGGCUUUGAUUUUUUUUCACUCAGAGCUCUGGGGAGUCAUUAAAGCUUUCUGAGCUGGAGAAUGGCAUAAUCAGAUUUGAAUUUGUAAGAGCUCAUUCUGGCAGUGGUGUAGAAAGGGCUAGACUGUAGACAGGGAGAUUGGUUGGAAAGCAAUUUAAUGAAUUGAAGCCAUUGGGAAGGAAAAUUAAAGGAAAGGGUGAGGUUGCAGAAAUAUUCAGGCCUUUUUUAUUUUUAAUUUUUAUGGAUACAUAAUAGUUGUACAAUUUUAAAAUAUAAAAUAAAUAUAUUUCUAUAGCAAAAAAGGAGAAAUAUUUAGUUCUAAAGAUUAUUUUAUUUUUCCAAAGCGGAUUCUAAAAAGACUUGCUUCUUUACGGCCAUCACCUACAGGGAGGAAUUUUUUCUUCUCCUCAUCAAGUGGUCUACAGGAGAUGAGGUUGUUUCUGGCUGCAAAGUCCAGGAUCAAGGACUGAAGAAAAUAAUGAAGUUUGGAGGAUUGGCUGCACAUUUCCUCUUCCUCUAUCAGUGAGGGAGAAGUGAUCAUAUCCCAUCUGACAUUGAUGAGAAAUGGAGAAAACAUCUUGGAAAAUAUGCUAGGGACAGUGAGAGUGGAAUAGGACCACCUCCCUUCACUAUAAAUCAGCAGUUCCUAAGUGAUGUAGAAGUUGAAUACUUCAUGAGGCCAUAGGUUUGACAUUGGUGAGUAACAGGAUUGGAAGCUACAGCCUUGUCUUGGAUGAAUAGCAGGGGAGCAAUAUGAUUGUGAACCAGAGGAAUAUGGCGUGGUGCCACCAGCCACGCAAAAAUAAUGAAUUUUUAAAACCUGAACAUUUAUUGAGAUUUUAUUAUAUGCGAAAUUCUGCCAUUAGUACUUCAUUUAAUCAUUACCUCCUUCCCCAAAAUAAGUAUUGAAACAAGGAGAAUCAUCACCAACAUUUUACAGGUGAAAUAACCAUGUCACAGAGAAGUGAUAUAACUUGCCCAUGGCCACAUUGCUAGUAAAUGACAGAGGUAUUGUUUACGCCAGGCAGUCUCUCCUGAGAUAUGGUCAAACCAUGCCAGGCAAAGCUAAUGUCACUCUCCACUUAAAACCAGCCACACGACCAAAUGGUGGUGGAGGA